GAUGAACGCUAGCGGCAGGCCUAACACAUGCAAGUCGAGGGGUAGAAGCUUUCGGGCUUUGAGACCGGCGCACGGGUGCGUAACGCGUAUGCAAUCUGCCUUGUACUGAGGGAUAGCCCAGAGAAAUUUGGAUUAACACCUCAUAGUAUUUUUGCCUGGCAUCAGGUGAUUAUUAAAGGUUACGGUACAAGAUGAGCAUGCGUCCCAUUAGCCAGUUGGUAUGGUAACGGCAUACCAAGGCUACGAUGGGUAGGGGUCCUGAGGGGGAGAUCCCCCACACUGGUACUGGGACACGGACCAGACUCCUACGGGAGGCAGCAGUGAGGAAUAUUGGUCAAUGGGCGCAAGCCUGAACCAGCCAUGCCGCGUGCAGGAUGAAGCAUCUAUGGUGUGUAAACUGCUUUUGUACGGGAAGAAACACUGCUACGUGUAGCAGCUUGACGGUACCGUAAGAAUAAGGAUCGGCUAACUCCGUGCCAGCCGCCGCGGUAAUAC
rnacentral:rRNA from 1 species